AUACACUUAGCUUACACUCGGCCAAUUCCUUUGUUGACUGUUGCAGAAUUAGGUACCUCACUAAACACGAUGGGACUUCUCUCGUACACUUCUUGACUUAUUCCAUGGUAAUCUUCCUUCUCAAUGGAAGGGUCCAGAACGCCCAUAAAUUAACACAUCAUUGACAUAUGGGUGAUAAUUACGGUUCAUUUAAAGCCACCUCAUCAUAAAUUUUCAAUAAAUUACCAUAUUGGUGUAUUGUUUAAUGAUUGACAGCAAUAAUGAUACCUUAAUUUGAGAUGAAUAUUGAUUGGGAAUUGAUGUGAUGCACAUCAAACUCAAAUUAAACCCACAGCUACAAUGAAGUUGCACAGUGACCUAGAAAAGCCAAGAGCUGGAGCUGCUGUUGGAGAAUGGAGAUGGCUAUGGAUGAAUGACUACAUACAUACACAUUGAACCAUCCAUAGGGCAUAACCAACCCACCCUCGUGAAUUGAAUCAUUCCUGAUUCCUAUAAGCCUGUUAUGGUGAAUGCUGAAUGAAGAAACAGAGGUCACCCAUUAUUAAUUAAUGAAAUAUGAUCAGGGUUUUCAACAGGUAUCAUCAGCUUCUACUUUUUCUCCACUAACAUUGAACUGGGCUCUCUGGAGCUAACCCCUCUGGUCUGUCAUUCUUUGUUAAAAGGGGUGGAAGGAUAUGCCCACUGAUAGAUAAUCAUCCCUUUAAACAAGGGUUUAAUCAGUUAAAAAAAAAUUGCAGAUUAAACAGAUAGAGAGGUUGAUAUUACAAACAUGUUUCAGUUCUCAAAGGGAGAGCUGAAAGGGAGAGAGAGAGGUUUAAUCAGUUAAAGAAAAAAACUGCAGAUUAAACAGAUAGAGAGGUUGAUAUUACAAACAUGUUUCAGUUCUCAAAGGGAGAGAGAGAGCCGGGAAAAGGAAAGGGAGAAACAAAGAGAAUCAACUCUGAUGUACAUAGAGAAGUGAACAAUGAAAUAAACGAGAGGGGAUCAAGCAGCAGGGGCCCUAAUGAAGCGGAGAGAGGAGGGGGAAGCGAAGGGGAGACUGCGGAGGAUAAGAAAACGAAUU
rnacentral:lncRNA from 1 species